ACGCUGGGAUUCCCGGAUGACAGGCGGGCGCACCACACCAGGAGCAAACACUUCCGGUUUUAAAAAUUCAGUUUGUGAUUGGCUGUCAUUCAGUAUUAUGCUAAUUAAGCAUGCCUGCUUUUAAACUUCUUAAAACAAUUUUUAAAAUUACCUUUCCACCUAAAACGUUAAAAUGUGUCAAGUGAUAAUAUUCGAAAAGCUGUUAUUGCCAAACUAUUUUCCUAUUUGUUUCCUAAUGGCAUCGGAACUAGCGAAAGUAUCUCGCCAUCAGUUAAAAGUUUGCGGCAGCUGUAGACCUAGCAGAGGCCGGGAAGAGGGCGUUAAGACUAUACUUUCAGGGAUCAUUUCUAUAGUUCGUUACUAGAGAAGUUUCUCUGAACGUGUAGAGCACCGAAAGCCACGAGGAAGAGACAUAGCGUUUUCUCCUGAGCGUGAAGCCGGCUUUAUGGUGUUGCUUAGCUGCAACUGCCGUCAGCCAUUGAUGAUCGUUCUUCUCUCCGCUUGGGGGAGUAAGAGGGAGAGAACGCGGUCUGAGUGGUUUUUCCUUCUUGAUGGUUCAAUGAUAGCGCUAGUGUGCGAGCUCUCCGGGCUGUUCAGUUCGUGCGUCGCAUGUGGGGAGGAAGGCUUUUGCUUUCUGUUUCAGCGGCGAUGGCCGUCGUGUUUCGUCCGGACUGGUCUCAAACUGCUGAUCUCAAGUGACUGACUGACUGCCUCAGCUGCCCAAGUAUCUCAAGUGACUGCCCCAGCUGCCCAAGUAGCAGGGACUGCAGACACAAGCCACAGCCGCCGGCUCUAUUCAGGAACAUGUUUGUUCCAAGUUUUGGCAAUUAUGGAUAAAGCUGCUAUAAACAGGUGUGCAGGUUUUUGUGUGGACAUUUUCAACUCAUUUGGGUAGACACCAAGAGGCACGAGUUCUGAUCAUACCGAAAGAGUGUUUAGUUUCAGAAGAAGCUGCUUGUCUUUUCUUGGGCUCCAUAACAAAAUACACAGACUUUGUGGCUUAAAUAAAUAAA